AGUAAAUGGAGUAAGAUCGCAGGUAGACCACCUGCUUAAUAGGCAGUAUGUGUAAGCGUAGCAAUACGUGAAGCUAAACUGUACUAAUGAUCGAGGGCUUCACCAC
rnacentral:rRNA from 1 species